rnacentral:rRNA from 1 species
AUAUAUCUUUCGGGAUAUAGAGAGUGGCGAACGGGUGCGUAACGCGUAUGCAACCUACCUUGUACAGGGGAAUAGCCCGGAGAAAUUCGGAUUAAUGCCCCAUAGUAUCACCAGAUGGCAUCUGAAGGUGAUUAAAGAUUUAUCGGUACAAGAUGGGCAUGCGUGACAUUAGUUAGUUGGCGGGGUAACGGCCCACCAAGACUAUGAUGUCUAGGGGUUCUGAGAGGAUGAUCCCCCACACUGGUACUGAGAUACGGACCAGACUCCUACGGGAGGCAGCAGUAGGGAAUAUUGGUCAAUGGGCGAGAGCCUGAACCAGCCAUGCCGCGUGCAGGAUGACGGCCUUCUGGGUUGUAAACUGCUUUUAUACGGGAAGAAAAAACCUUUGCGAAGGGAAUUGCCGGUACCGUAUGAAUAAGCACCG